CCUGACACCCUUUCUUUUGCCUUCUCUUCAGAGUGGUGGACAAUGAAGGAACUCUGCAACUGAAGAGAAGCUUCCCCAUUGAGCAGAGCUCACACCCUGUGCGCAGUAUCUUCUGCCCCCUCAUGUCCUUCCGCCAGGGGGCCUGUGUGGUGACAGGCAGUGAGGAUAUGUGUGUUCACUUCUUUGACGUGGAGCGGGCGGCCAAGGCUGCUGUAAACAAGCUGCAGGGCCACAGUGCACCUGUGCUUGAUGUCAGCUUCAACUGUGACGAGAGUCUGCUGGCCUCCAGUGACGCCAGUGGCAUGGUCAUCGUCUGGAGACGGGAGCAAAAGUAGGGUUCUGCCAGCCCUGCGCUGCCCACCGUUCCCUCCUCUCCCUCCAGUCUUGUGUUGUAAAUAAAAUUUCUGUGGUUGUGUUGAGGGGCAACUCCCAGGUCUCCCACGAGGGGGCAAUAGGGAGCACUGAGCCCUCCAGUGAAAGGGAGCUCACUUCCUCAGUUGUGCAGUACUGUGUUCAUCCAUGCAACAGCACUGAGUAUAUCUGCUGUGAUGUGUCACGUAGUUGUGCAGUCAGUAGACAGGAAUGAGAGAGAGCACCUGCUGUGUUGUCAGGAACUGUUCUGAAAAGGACGGGUACUGCUGGGGCCUCAAGCAACAGAAAUUCCCGCCCUGGUACACGAAGUACAGCCAUUCCUUGGAGUAUGAUUUGCUUUAUAAUUUUUCAACUUUUUGACCUUACAGUGCUACAGAACCACACACAUACACCUGGUCUUGUUUUUCUACUUUCUGUAAGGUGUUCAGUGAAUUACAUGAGCUAGUCAACAUUUUGUUAUAAAAUAGACUUUGCAUUAGGUGAGUUUGCCUACCUGUAGAAUAAUGUCACUGUUCUGAGCCCAUUUAAGGUAGGUGGGGCUAAGCUAGGGUGUUUGGUAGGUUAGGUAUAUUAAUGCAUUUUCGACAUACGCUAGUUCAAGUUAAGGCAGAUUGGUUGGGGUCUAACCCUAUUGAAUGGAGAAGCAUCUGUAUAUAAAUAGACUAGGCAAAGAUGGGCGGUGUGGAGACAAAGAGGGAGGAAAGGGAUGAGGUUGCAGGGACGGGAGCGGGGAGCUUCUUUUGGUGAUGUCAUUUGAAGAUCUGAAUGAACUGAGGGGGGUGGUAGAAGAACGUCCUCAACAGAAAGAAAGGUCAGCGCAGAGGCACCGAGACUGGGGUGUGACACAUGACGUUAGGUCUGGAGGGCUUCGUGGGCCAUGCUGAGGAGCUUGCCUUUUCCUGGGUGAGGGAGGUUGGGGUGCAGGAACAGACAGCAAUGGAGAAAUUAGGAGAGGAAUGAAUGGUGAGUUCAGCCCCAAGGGUUUCAUCAGAUUCAAUUGUAAAAGUUCCCAACCUGACAGCUUCUGGCUAGGUGGACCCCACUCUUUUCUAUGCAUUGACUCGUGGCCCCCAACCAGGGAGCAGAAGUGGUGAGCUGAGUUCCUGGAGUUCUAGACUGGCAUGCAGGCAGCCGUGGACUUGGGUUGAGCUACAGCUCCUGCUGUGGGGAGGAAGGAAGAGAAAAUCUGUAAGCUCACCCCUAGCUCCUCCCAUGUCCAUCCAGGGCCCUAAUUUAAGCCUUGACCAGCUCAGAGACCAAAUGCUAAACUAGUUCAUUAUUGGAUAUUGGCAAGGAAAUAAGUUCCAAAAGCAUUGUCAGUGGUUAGAAUCUUGAAGAAAUUUCAGUUUGAAGAAUCACCAGGGGCUCUUACAGCUAAUUCUCCCAGAUCCUUGUGCUGCUGCUACAUUUGCAUCAGUUGGAACCUCAGCUAACAUCUUGGGACUUCAGAGUCACCUACCUGGUAGCACAAUAUUGCUGAGCUGUGGAACUAACAGCAGCUCUUUGAGGGAAGAAGAUACUUCCCUGUUUGUUUAAUCUGUCGUUUAAUAGUAUGAUCACUUGUAGCUAAAGCACUUCUGGCUCCAUCAGACAGAUCUUAGGCAAAUGGUUAUGAAAUAAUGAUAUGAGUGAGCUAGACUGGUCAUGUUGUCAAAAUCGUGUGUGUGCCAACAUUCCUAACCCAGCUUCAGGGUCAGUGAUUACCUGUGAAGACAGACAGAAUAGCUGACGGGAAGGGUACCACACACCAAUUAAAUGCUAAUCUUCAGUGAGGCCCUCCCAAGGAUAACAGUUCAGACCUGUGUGGUAACUCUGCCUCACCAAGUAGAUACAGUUCCAAUCAAGGUCUACAGGUAGCAAGAUAAUUGGGGGAAAUACCAGUUUUCUCUAACUUCCAUUUCUUCACGCUCUCCAUUUUUCUUUAAUGAGUGGUUUCAGGAUGAUUGAUGACUAUUGUUUGCAUGAUUUGGGGGCUUUCCUCCUUGUAAAAUUUUUGAGGUGGCAGAAUCAACAUUCUACUUUAAUUUCAUCUUGGAGACACUUUUGACUCACAACCUACAGGAACCUAAACACUGAGUAAACAAGAAAGAAUAAAAAAUAAUAAUGCUAUUGGUCAA